rnacentral:rRNA from 1 species
CCUACGGGAGGCAGCAGUGGGGAAUAUUGGACAAUGGGCGAAAGCCUGAUCCAGCAAUGCCGCGUGAGUGAUGAAGGCCUUAGGGUCGUAAAGCUCUUUUACCAGGGAUGAUAAUGACAGUACCUGGAGAAUAAGCUCCGGCUAACUCCGUGCCAGCAGCCGCGGUAAUACGGAGGGAGCUAGCGUUGUUCGGAAUUACUGGGCGUAAAGCGUGCGUAGGCGGUUAUUCAAGUCAGAGGUGAAAGCCCGGGGCUCAACCCCGGAACGGCCUUUGAAACUAGAUAACUAGAAUCUUGGAGAGGUCAGUGGAAUUCCGAGUGUAGAGGUGAAAUUCGUAGAUAUUCGGAAGAACACCAGUGGCGAAGGCGACUGACUGGACAAGUAUUGACGCUGAGGUACGAAAGCGUGGGGAGCAAACAGGAUUAGAUACCCUGGUAGUCCACGCCGUAAACGAUGAUAACUAGCUGUCCGGACACUUGGUGUUUGGGUGGCGCAGCUAACGCAUUAAGUUAUCCGCCUGGGGAGUACGGUCGCAAGAUUAAAACUCAAAGGAAUAGAGG